rnacentral:rRNA from 1 species
AACGAACGCUGGCGGCAGGCCUAACACAUGCAAGUCGAGCGAGGACUUCGGUCCUAGCGGCGGACGGGCGAGUAACGCGUGGGAACGUGCCCUUUGCUUCGGAAUAUGACUGGGAAACUGGGAGUAAUACCGGCUGAGCCCCUUGGGGGAAUGAUUUAUCGGCGAAGGGUCGGCCGGCGUUGGAGUAGGUAGUUGGUGGGGUAAUGGCCUACCAAGCCGACGGCUCAUAGCUGGUUUGAGAGGAUGAUCAGCCACACUGGGACUGAGACACGGCCCAGACUCCUACGGGAGGCAGCAGUGGGGAAUCUUAGACAAUGGGGGAAACCCUGAUCUAGCCAUGCCGCGUGAGCGAUGAAGGCCUUAGGGUUGUAAAGCUCUUUCAGCUGGGAAGAUAAUGACGGUACCAGCAGAAGAAGCCCCGGCUAACUCCGUG